CUUCAUCUGUUGUAAAUGUCGUUUCCGUGUCAAGUAUAAUUUUCUACUGUGUGAUUUUGUGCAUGUUUUAUAAUUGUGCAUUUCACAUGUAGGUCAAUAAUCCAUUUUGAGUUAAUUUUUAUAAAGUUGGAAGGUCUGAGUCUAGAUUCGUUUUGUUUGUGUCAGUUCCCCCCAUGGAUUUCAAAUCAUUUCAGCAGCAUUUGUUGAAAAGGUCACCUUUCUUCAUUUAAUUGUCUUUUACCUUCUUGUCAAAGAUCAGUUAACUCUAUUAGUGAGGAUUUAAUUCUGGGCUAUCUUUUCUGUUCUAUUGAAGAGUAAUUAGAAGCAAACAUUUAAUACUUAAGUGUGUACCCAUUAUUUCACCAAUUAUUUGACCAUCUAUCGACCAAUUAUUUCACCAGUACCACACUGGGUUGACAGUAAGGCAUGAAGCUGGGUAUUGUCAGCUCUUCUACUUUGAUCUUCUGUUUUGUGUUUGCUAUCCUGGGUCUUUUAACUUGCAAUAUGAGCUCUGUCACUCUGUCAAUAUCACUCUGUCAAUAUGAGAAAAAAAUCACUUGCUGGAACUUCAAACAGGAUUGAAUUGAACCUUUUUGUAGUUAGGAAGAAUUGGCAUCCUAAUAUCAUUAAGUCUUAUCUAUGAACAUGGAAUAUGUCUCCAUAAACAGUCAUAUGUCACUUAGGGAUGGGGAAAAGUCCUGAGAAAUGUGUCUUUAGGCAUUUCUUUUUAAAUUGUGUGAACAUCAUAGAACACGCAUUGACAAACCAGGACACUUGUGAUGUUACCAGGGGUUAUAAUCUUACAGGUCCACCAUUAUACAUAGGGUCUGCCAUUGAUUGAAAGGUCUUUAUGCGGUGUUUGACUGUGCUAACCUCUGUACUUUCUUUCAUCAGAGUUUUGAAGUUUACCUCAUAUAGAUCCUACAUGUUUCCCAGAUUAUAUCUAAGUCUUUUAUGUGGGGGUAUUACUAUAAGUGGUACUUUUUAAAUUGCAAGUUUCUUUGCUAAUGUAGAGGAAAGCAGCUGACUUGUGUAGAUUAACUUGCAAUGCUUCAGUCUGAACUAUAAUAGUUUACUAAUCCCAGGAGUUUUAGUUUUAUUUUUCAAUUCCUUGGGAUUUUUUUCUACGUAGAUGUUUAUGUGAAACACAGAUAAUAUUGUCUUAUUUCUCCCUUCCCAAACUGUGUACUUCCUUUUUUUGACCUGUUGCAUUAGCUGGGACAUCUAGUGAGGCUGAAGAAGAAUUCUGACAGGAAAUACAUUUGCCUUGUUGAUCCUCCUGUGGAGAUGGAAUCUGGUUCCUUGUUAUCAAGUGUGAAGCUAGCUGUAGAUGGUUUGUAGGUAUUCUUUAAUAAGUUCAGGAAUUUCUACUCUAUUUCUAGUUUGUUGGAAAUUUUAAAAUACAAAUCAUAAAUAGACAUUGAAUUGUCUUAAUGGCUUUUCUGUUUUGAUUAAUAAGAUCAUAUGAUUUUUUUUCUUCAGUAGUCUCCUGAUAUGAUAGAUGACAUUGAUUGAUCUGUGAGUAUUGAAUCAGCUUGGUAUUCCUGAAAUAAAUUCUGCUUGGUCUUGGUAUAUGAUUCCUUUUUUAUACUGUUGAAUUCAAUUUACCAAUAUUUUUCUCAGUUUAUAUGUGUUUGUUGCUGUAACAUUUUGUUUUGAACAUCACAAAUGCACCAGAUGAGCCAUUCAUCUUAAGACAUCUGUACCAUAACUAAAAAGCACUGUACUGAUGUUUACA
rnacentral:lncRNA from 1 species